GGAUCGGCGCCGCAUCACCAAAAUGAGGCGAUUUGUUUCUCUCUUUGAUUUAUCUCUCACCGAUUAAUGAGUGAAGAAACAAAGUUGGUCCAUCGACUAUUAUUUCAGAUCUGAGCAUAUGGACCCCAAUAAUUUGGCUUUAUAUUUCUACAAUUUAUAUUAUGUUUUGCGUUAUAGUUGUGAUGUGCAACCUACAUCAAAAUCGGCCGUAAUUUCUUUGAUUAAAAUGAGCAAAAGAAUCUACGAUAAAGAUGGUUUUAUCCUGAUAUGUCCCAUUUUUUGUAAGAUUCAGAAAUGGAACUAUCAUCAAAUAAAUAUGAAGGAUUAUUGCUGCUAAAAGAUGAAAGGAGAAGAAAAGGAACUAUGAAAAAGAGUUAGAAAAGAGAGUUGAGUUACUUAACAUUAAAACGGAUAAUGUAACUAUUAAGCUUAUGAUGGUGAUGGUAAAAAUAUAAUCUUAAAUUCAUUUCUAAAGAUCUAUAUAAUAAAAAAAAUUGUUAUGGCUAUAAAGGUAUGCAAUUAAAUGUACCCAUGAGAUGUCGAAAAUGAAUCAUAAUCAAAAGGAAUAUGCUAAGAUGAAGACGAAGAUAUGGGAGAAGAUGAAGAUAAAGAUGAUGAUAUGAGAAGAUGAAAAUGAUGAGGUUAUAUAAUAAGUAUAUUUCCCAGGAUGUUUGGUCAAAGAAAAAUGUCUAGCCCAGUGACCCGGCACUUGUAACAUUGAAGUGAGGAACAUGUGUUUGUACUGAAUUAAAUGGACUUUACAAUACCAAUGAAUCAUUAAUAUUAUUUAUCGUAUUGUAUCAUAAAAUAUUUAUUAUUUCUUAUAGAAAUUUUUUUAAUUUAUAUUCUCCA